rnacentral:rRNA from 1 species
GAUCAUGGCUCAGGACGAACGCUGGCGGCGUGUUUAACACAUGCAAGUCGAACGAGAAUCUACUGAAAGAGUUUUCGGACAAUGGAUGUAGAGGAAAGUGGCGGACGGGUGAGUAACGCGUGAGGAACCUGCCUUGAAGAGGGGGACAACAGUUGGAAACGACUGCUAAUACCGCAUGACGCAUAGGGGUCGCAUGAUCUUUAUGCCAAAGAUUUAUCGCUUCAAGAUGGCCUCGCG